rnacentral:rRNA from 1 species
CCUACGGGCGGCAGCAGUGAGGAAUAUUGGUCAAUGGGCGCGAGCCUGAACCAGCCAAGUAGCGUGAAGGAUGACUGCCCUACGGGUUGUAAACUUCUUUUAUAAAGGAAUAAAGUGAGGCACGUGUGCCUUUUUGUAUGUACUUUAUGAAUAAGGAUCGGCUAACGCCGUGCCAGCAGCCGCGGUAAUACGGAGGAUCCGAGCGUUAUCCGGAUUUAUUGGGUUUAAAGGGAGCGUAGAUGGGUUGUUAAGUCAGUUGUGAAAGUUUGCGGCUCAACCGUAAAAUUGCAAUUGAUACUGGCAGCCUUGAGUAAAGUGGGGGUAGGCGGAAUUCGUGGUGUAGCAGUGAAAUGCGUAGAUAUCACGAAGAACUCCGAUUGCGAAGGCAGCUUACUAAACUGCCACUGACAUUGAGGCACGAAGGUGUGGGUAUCAAACAGGAUUAGAUACCCUAGUAGUC